UAAGCGGAGGAGAAGAAACUAACGAGGAUUUCCCUAGUAACGGCGAGCGAACCGGAAAGAGCCCAGCUUGAAAAUCGCGGCGCUGCGCGGCGCGAGUUGUAGUCUGGAGAAGCAUCCUCUGCAGUGCACCGGACCCAAGUUCCCUGGAAAGGGACGUCAGAGAGGGUGACAACCCCGUCGAGUCCGGACCCCGUGCUGCUCCACGAGGUGCUGUCGUCGAGUCGAGCUGUUUGGGAAUGCAGCUCUAAGUGGGUGGUAAAUUCCAUCCAAGGCUAAAUAUGGGCAGGAGACCGAUAGCGAACAAGUACCGCGAGGGAAAGAUGAAAAGGACUUUGAAAAGAGAGUUAAAGAGUGCUUGAAAUUGCUGGGAGGGAAGCGAAUGGAAGCUGCGGGUGUGGCCCGGUUGGAUGUGGAACGGCCCCGGGAAGGGGGCUGGUCCGCCGCUCAACGCGGGGCACUGGUCAGCGUGGGCCACCGCGGCGGGACAAGAGCGGGGUGUAGUUCCCCGCCCAUGCCGUUGUGGUGGCCGAGGAACGAAGCGUGCGCCCCCCUCCCCCCGUGGGAGCGGGGCGUGGACUCCCCCGUCGGGGUCCAACUGCGCGCUCGGGACGCUGGCGUAUUGAGCUCUUCAUCCGACCCGUCUUGAAACACGGACCAAGGAGUCUAACAUGUAUGCGAGCCGGUGGGCGGCAAACCCAUUGAGGCGCAAGUAAACUGACAGGUGGGACCCCUCUUAUGACAAGGGAGCACCAUCGACCGACCGUGAUCUUCUGUGAAAGGUUUGAGUGUGAGCAUACCUGUUGGGACCCGAAAGAUGGUGAACUAUGCCUGAGCAGGGCGAAGCCAGAGGAAACUCUGGUGGAGGCUCGUAGCGAUACUGACGUGCAAAUCGUUCGUCAGACUUGGGUAUAGGGGCGAAAGACUAAUCGAACCAUCUAGUAGCUGGUUCCCUCCGAAGUUUCCCUCAGGAUAGCUGGAGCUCGCGUGACAGUUUUAUCAGGUAAAGCGAAUGAUUAGAGGCAUCGGGGGUGUAACACCCUCGACCUAUUCUCAAACUUUAAAUAGGUAAGCCGCCGGGGUUGCUUGGCUGAACCCCGGCACAGAAUGAGAGC
rnacentral:rRNA from 1 species